CCCCCCGGCAGCCGGGGGGAAAUAGCACAUUUUGAUGUUAGCGCCACCCCGGCUGCCGGGGUGAAAUAGGUGUGAGGACCAAGAAAUAUUAAGGGAAAAACAACUUUUAGAAACAACCAUCAACCAUGUGCCAAUCCUUUUCACCCAACAAAACAGCAAAAGAAGAGUUUAUUGUGGUGCUGUAACAGUAUGUUUGCAGAAUUGAUAAAUUGCUUGCUUGAAGUAUGUACUCAGCAUUGAAAAAUGUGCACAGCAAAAACAGUUGGUCAGAAUUCUAAACGUCAAAUGAUUUCCCGAUUGGACAAGCAGGCCAUAAAGGAAAUGGAAGAAUAUUCACUGUAUUACAUGGCAAGAAGAAUACAUCCUCGACAUCACUUCUAUGCUGCAGAAAAAUCAGCACACAUCCUGAUUUCUGCCAUUCCGUCAGUCACUCCAAUGCUUUCGACAACAGGACAAAAGCAGCAUUCUUCAAUCAGACUGCUCCUGAUUGUCUUGAACAUGUGUUACUUGUCAUGCCCGGUAAGAAAUUUCACAGGACUGUGUUGUAAAUUGGUAUCACCUUUAAGAAGCAGAUUUAGAUCACAUGGCUUCUGUGAAAGUAAUCAGGUGUCUGUCACCAAAAUGGCUCUCUCCGUUCGCGACAUCAGAACUCCCCAGUGUGUCGUUUUCCCUCGAGUUAAGCGUUUUGAACCAUCUCAGGCCUAAGCUGAAGUUCUAGAGGUAUUAAGAAAGUGGUUGCUUUUGUUAGAGUUUUUCACCGUCAGAUGCAUCAAUCAGAAUGAUGUUCACUUCCUCGAAGUCAUUGCUCACGUUAUAUUGACCCGCAAAGGCAAAUCGGAAAAGGAUAUUCUUUUCCUUGACAUAAAGAACGAAAAUUUAAUGCACUAGCAAGUCAUCCGCAUCCAAACAGAUCAAACGCGCGAGAUAUCGCACCUCGUUCGGCAACUUACCAUCCAGCAACGCAUCCAUCAAUAGAGUGUUAAAGAGGAAACUAAUUGACUGCAUGCCAACUCGACGAUUUCCAUGCAAGACGAAUGUUAAAAUCCAAGGAGAUCUGGUGAACAGGAUCCAACGGACUAGGUCAUGUCAAACCAUUAGUUGAAUAGAAUGAAUACUUUUAGUUCUACAGAACAAGAGGCCUACAUAGGUUAAGAAUCAUACUGAAUCAAAAGAGGUACCUAGUUGAACGAGAUUU